rnacentral:rRNA from 1 species
UACACUCCUGCGGGAGGCAGCAGUGGGGAAUUUUGGACAAUGGGCGAAAGCCUGAUCCAGCAAUGCCGCGUGUGUGAAGAAGGCCUUCGGGUUGUAAAGCACUUUUGUCCGGAAAGAAAUCCUUGGCUCUAAUACAGUCGGGGGAUGACGGUACCGGAAGAAUAAGCACCGGCUAACUACGUGCCAGCAGCCGCGGUAAUACGUAGGGUGCGAGCGUUAAUCGGAAUUACUGGGCGUAAAGCGUGCGCAGGCGGUUUGCUAAGACCGAUGUGAAAUCCCCGGGCUCAACCUGGGAACUGCAUUGGUGACUGGCAGGCUAGAGUAUGGCAGAGGGGGGUAGAAUUCCACGUGUAGCAGUGAAAUGCGUAGAGAUGUGGAGGAAUACCGAUGGCGAAGGCAGCCCCCUGGGCCAAUACUGACGCUCAUGCACGAAAGCGUGGGGAGCAAACAGGAUUAGAAACCCCGGUAGUCCCAUGAU